CUUCUCCUACAAGCCUAGUCGCUCAACCACACAAAACCAGACUCAUUUGUUUUCCUACCCAUUUGCUCUGUCUCGGCAUCCUCACUUCUCCUGUAAGCUCAAUCACUCAACUCACAUUUGAGGAAAGGUUCUCUAAUUCUUCCAACUCUAACCACUGCUUCUGCCAAGCCACAGAUCCUCUGAUUCCUCUGACCACCUCUUCCUUUACUGUAGGGAUCAAGGAUUGAUGUUGAAUUAUGGUGAAGAGAAGGAGAAAUGAUACGUAUUCUUUUAGAAGAAAGAGACAGAAUAAUCAACCUCAAACUAUAGGAGUUGCUGCCAUUGGCAUUGCUAGAGCAAGGAACCAAAGAGGUUGAGAUUAGUGCUGGAUAUCCACAAUCUUUGGAAGUAGUAGACUGAACGGAGUUAAGGAUGAAGAGAAAGAACGAGGGUUCAGAUGAUCUUUCCAUAAAGAGCUCAGAUCUUUUUGUACUUGAGGGUUUUGUUAUUCAACUAGAGUCCAGCCAAAAGAAGUGCAAUGUACUAGCAGGGGCAUCUCACCAGUAGAUUUCGAGCUGCCUUCUGUCAUUAUUUAAAUUGAAACUAAUGUAUGCUUACAACUGGCGAUAUAUAUAUAUAUAUAUAUAUAUAUAUCCAUUGAUAGGAUGUCUUUUUAAAGGAUGGCGAUAUGGAAGGACACCUUGAGCAUUGUGCAAUGAAAUCUGU